rnacentral:rRNA from 1 species
GACGAACCGUCCAAACGUUAUUCGGAAUCACUGGGCUUACAGAGUUCGUAGGCGGUCUGGAAAGUUGGGUGUGAAAUCCCUCGGCCUAACCGAGGAACUGCGCUUGAAACUACCAGACUCGAGGGAGAUAGAGGAAAGCGGAACUGAUGGUGGAGCGGUGAAAUGUGUUGAUAUCAUCAGGAACACCGGUGGCGAAGGCGGCUUUCUGGGUCUUACCUGACGCUGAGGAACGAAAGCCAGGGGAGCGAACGGG